AAUAUUCAGUCAUUUGUCUUCAAAUAACUGUUUUAUUCUAAAUAGGGUCACAAUGGAUAUGGAACCUAUCUCAGGAACACUGGGAGUGUGGACCAGAAAUACACCCCUGGAUGGGAUACUACAAGGCUCCCAAGUGGCGCAGCAGAACAGGAGAGGUGGAGGAAGGGAAGAUAGAACAAAUAUUUUGUGACUACACCAGCUAUUUCUCACUGGAAAUAAAAUGGAAAGGGACAUGACUGCAUGAAGGAUGACUCAGGCUGCUUUAGGACCAAUCCUCAGUAGCAGGUGUAAGGAAGAACUGUGACACAGCAGCUUCGAGGUCAGACCCAGUGCUCUGUCACACAGCAAUUUAGCAACACACACACACACAGACACACACAGCAUUCAGACAGGUUACCCACAGCACUUGUAUCAUCAACUCAUUGAUUUUUAAUAAGACACGGUUGUGGCACACACUUGUGGUAGACCAUACAAUGAUAACUGAGUUGUAUGCACUUACUCUCCACUUUAUUAGCACCGAAUGUACACUUACUCAUUUAUACAGCUGUUUAAUUAACAAAACAAAACACUGAGUGAGCAGCGGCUCUGUAGUAGGAAAUGCCUUGAUGUUGAGAUUGAUUGGAAAAAAACGUUGUCUGGUCUUUAUCCA